rnacentral:sRNA from 1 species
UUUUUUUUGUGUUUUCAUCCUCUUC